rnacentral:rRNA from 1 species
CCGACGGUGAGGGAUGAAUGCUGGGGGCGCAAACCGGAUUAGAUACCCGGGUAGUCCCAGCAGUAAACGAUGCCAGCUAUGUGUUGCUGGAACCAUGGGUUCAGCAGUGCCGAAGGGAAGCCGUGAAGCUGGCCACCUGGGAAGUACGGUCGCAAGGCUGAAACUUAAAGGAAUUGGCGGGGGAGUACCACAACCGGUGGAGCCUGCGGUUUAAUUGGAUACAACGCCGGGAAUCUUACCGGAGGGGACAGCAGUAUGAAGGCCAGGCUAAAGACCUUGCCAGAUCAGCUGAGAGGAGGUGCAUGGCCGUCGCCAGUUCGUACCGUGAGGCAUCCUGUUUAGUCAGGCAACGAUCGAGACCCGCAGUCUUAUUUGCCAGCAUGCCCUUUGGGGUGUAUGGGUACAAUAAGACGACCGCCAGCGCUAAGCUGGAGGAAGGAGCGGGCUACGGUAGGUCAGCAUGCCCCGAAUCCUCCGGGAUACACGCGGGCUACAAUGGUCAGGACAAAAGGUACCGACCUCGAAAGAGUGAGGUAAUCCACAAACCUGAUCUCAGUCCGGAUCGAAGGCUGCAACUCGCCUUCGUGAAGAUGGAAUCGGUAGUAAUCGUGACUCAAAAUGUCACGGUGAAUAUGUCCCUGCUCCUUGCACACAC